GAUGAACGCUGGCGGCGUGCCUAAUACAUGCAAGUCGAGCGAACAGACGAGGAGCUUGCUCCUCUGACGUUAGCGGCGGACGGGUGAGUAACACGUGGAUAACCUACCUAUAAGACUGGGAUAACUUCGGGAAACCGGAGCUAAUACCGGAUAAUAUAUUGAACCGCAUGGUUCAAUAGUGAAAGACGGUUUUGCUGUCACUUAUAGAUGGAUCCGCGCCGCAUUAGCUAGUUGGUAAGGUAACGGCUUACCAAGGCGACGAUGCGUAGCCGACCUGAGAGGGUGAUCGGCCCCACUGGAACUGGGACACGGUCCAGACUCCAACGGGAGGCAGCAGUAGGGAAUCUUCCGAAAUGGGCGAAAGCCUGACGGAGCAACGCCGCGUGGGUGAUGAAGGUCUGCGGAUCGUAAAACUCUGUUAUUAGGGAAGAACAAAUGUGUAAGUACUAUGCACGUCUUGACGGUACCUAAUCAGAAAGCCACGGCUAACUACGUG
rnacentral:rRNA from 1 species